rnacentral:rRNA from 1 species
AGAGUUUGAUCAUGGCUCAGAUUGAACGCUGGCGGCAUGCCUAACACAUGCAAGUCGAACGGUAACAGGCCGCAAGGUGCUGACGAGUGGCGGACGGGUGAGUAAUACGUAGGUAUCUGCCCUGUAGUGGGGGAUAACCCGGGGAAACUCGGGCUAAUACCGCAUACGCUCUUUUAUCGUUGAGAUAGGAGAGGAAAGCGAGGGACCGAAAGGCCUCGCGCUAGAGGAUGAGCCUACGCCCGAUUAGCUAGUUGGUAGGGUAAAAGCCUACCAAGGCGACGAUCGGUAGCUGGUCUGAGAGGAUGGCCAGCCACACUGGGACUGAGACACGGCCCAGACUCCUACGGGAGGCAGCAGUGGGGAAUAUUGGACAAUGGGGGAAACCCUGAUCCAGCGAUGCCGCGUGGGUGAAGAAGGCCUGCGGGUUGUAAAGCCCUUUCAGUGGGGAAGAAAAACGGGGUGUGAACAGCGCUUCGUUUUGACGUUACCCACAGAAGAAGCACCGGCUAACUCCGUGCCAGCAGCCGCGGUAAUACGGAGGGUGCGAGCGUUAAUCGGAAUUACUGGGCGUAAAGGGCGCGUAGGCGGUUGGGUAAGUCGGGUGUGAAAGCCCUGGGCUUAACCUGGGAAUGGCAUUCGAGACUACCUAUCUAGAGUCUGGUAGAGGGAAGUGGAAUUUCCGGUGUAGCGGUGAAAUGUGUAGAUAUCGGAAGGAACACCAGUGGCGAAGGCGACUUCCUGGACCAAGACUGACGCUGAGGCGCGAAAGCGUGGGGAUCAAACAGGAUUAGAUACCCCGGUAGUCC